rnacentral:lncRNA from 1 species
UGAAAUUGAGUUGAUGAAGGAAGCUUGGUCAUUGGUUGGGUAUGUUCGUUUGAAGGUGUGUGUGGAGCAUGGUGUCUCCCUAGUGGAUCUAGAUGGAGAUGGAGUGUUUGAUGGUUGAAUGUUUGAGCUUGAAGUGAUGAGAAUAGUGAUUCGGUUUGAAGUUGUGAGAAUAGUAACGUUAGAUCGGGUACUUGUUUUUUUG